rnacentral:rRNA from 1 species
CCUACGGGAGGCAGCAGUGAGGAAUAUUGGUCAAUGGCCGGAAGGCUGAACCAGCCAUGCCGCGUGAAGGUCAGUGCCCUAUGGGCGUUAAACUUCUUUUGUGCGGGAGCAAUAAUGGUCACGUGUGGCCAGACGAGAGUACCGUACGAAUAAGCAUCGGCUAACUCCGUGCCAGCAGCCGCGGUAAUACGGGGGAUGCAAGCGUUAUCCGGAUUUAUUGGGUGUAAAGGGUGCGUAGGGUGUGAGGUAAGUCAGCGGUGAAAUGCUCCCGGUCAACGGGGUGAAGUGCCAUUGAUACUGCCGUGCUGGAAUGCGGAUGCCGUGGGAGGAAUGUGUGGUGUAGCGGUGAAAUGCAUAGAUAUCACACAGAACACCGAUUGCGAAGGCAUCUCACGAAUCCGCGAUUGACGCUGAUGCACGAAAGCGUGGGUAUCAAACAGGAUUAGAUACCCUGGUAGUC